GCUGUAGAGCUGGCCGCUCUUGGAACGGGCCUCGGCGUAGAAGGAGCGCAGCACGCGGCACAGCGCCCCCUUGUCCAUGGUCUCGAAGUCCGGGCUCUGAGCCUUUUCGCUCAGGGCGUUUAUCAUUUUGUGCCUCAAUAGAAACCAGCCAUCACAAUGUAAUUUACAAGGAAUGUUAAGUAAGAAGAAAGAAAAGCUAAGUCCGGGCAGCGUGGGCAUCCGAGAGGGAGAUGACAGGGCCUUCUCUGCAGCCUUCUUUCGUCGCCCUCUGAGAGAGCCUCCUUAGCCCUGGACACCACAGAGCGUUGGGGAAGCCAUGCCAGGUGUGAAACAAGUUGUAACAAGUCCCUGCCUCUCAGGUUUCCUCAAGCUCCUCGGGGAGACACACACACACACACACACACACACACACACACACACACACACACACACAGACGCCCACGCGCCCUCUCAUCACAGACAAACUACAUCUGUCCGAGGAGGAGGAGAGGGUCUUUGGGGUUGGACUUCUAGGGACUACUUUCCCAGGUCCUACUAGAGAGGUGGUCGGAUUUGUCACAGCGUUCUGUUCGCCCUCUUAGCCCCUGGAAACAUGUUGUGAGAUGCACUACCUUCCCAGACCUGGGAGCAGUGGGCGGCUAAGCGGACACACAUGGCCCCGGAGCUCAGCUCAUGAGCCUGCACAUGCUAGUCGCACACCGCUUCUUCUGGAGAGCGGACCUUUGAUCCCGGGAUGCUGUCAGAUUGUUGUAAUCUCUGAGAAUUGCUCGGGUGCUGAGACCUCAGUUGGGCCGGGGGCAAGUCACCUUACUACCAGUGGCUUUGAUCUCUAGACUUGCCAUGAACCAAGGGUCCUUCACCCUAGCUCGGGGACUGCGCCUCAGACUUUGCCAGGGGAUCCAGCUCCACGCUUGGGCCCACAAGGGAGUAGCUCUCCAGAUCUCCCCUUUUUGCAGCAGACCGGCUACAACCACUCUCCAACCCGCUCCCACGCAGACACCGGCUCCACUCCCCUCUGGGGGAGCUGCUUCCAAUUGCUCGCAGUUUGCCGGAGGCAGUAUGCUGGAUUGGACGCUCCGGGGAAGCAAAGCAACCAGAAACAGCUCCCAGUUGACGUCAACGUAUUUCCAGAAAAGAAAAUAGUUUUGUGUUCCCAGGACAAAAUACCCCCCAGGGCAAGUCCCUACUGGCAAAAGCCAGGCGGUGGAGGUGGGAAUGGCAGGGCUAAAGAGGGGGAAAUGCCACCCAGGCACGAAUCACUUUUUAACGGACUUGGAGAAACAGCAGUUUCAGAAACUGCCUCGACGUUUUUGGAACAACGGGCAGGACCGAACUUAAACUAGGGAUGAAAAACACACCUUGGAAAGUAUGAAUUGGUCUGAUUGUCGCAGGACUGUUUAUCCACCUCCUAGCAUCGCAUCGGCUUCUGCCCCGCAACCAAAAUUUUGUACCUGUAAGGAUACUUCAUCAAAUACUAAAAAAACCUCGUCAGGCUAGUAACCAACAUGGUUACCAGGCAGAACUGCCAAACAAAACCAAACAAACACAACGAGAAAUAUGUGCUCUUUCUCCACUGCUCCCAUCAAAUGAAAGAUAAGGAGGAAAGGUUGCUUAAUUGUUAAAACCCAGUAACAUAAAAUUACAGUUGAACUCAUAAAAGGGUUCAGUUCCAGGUUUAUUAAAUGAUCUUUUACAUAUACUCAAUUUGAAAUCGAAAUUUUUUAAAUGCCCUCUUACUAUUUUUGUAGAGGCAAUAUUAUUUGUUUAGCCUCUCUGUUUUCUAAGUCCUUCACAUCGUGGAGUCUAUUCUGCUCACCAUUUAAACUGUGUGAGAGAUGUGGUUUCUGUAUUACAAACAGCAAUCCAGUUCAGUGUGGAACUUUUGCUGCAGCCAUCAACUUUUAGAUUCUUCACCGUAAGCCACCUGAAGAUCUGAGCAGCUUCCACAAGAUGGUUUGUCCACAUGAGCUGUCUCUACCAACAUCACCAGAAAAGACCACUCCUGUAUCUGUUUCCCUGUCUCAGAAAGUAGAGACAAGGUGAUUUGGGGAGGAGAUCAUCCCAGCACCCCUCACACACCUGCUUUAUAAACAACCAUGGAUUCCCAUUCCAGAUUCUCAUAUUUUUGUUGGCAAUAUCAAUUAGGAAAACCACCAGACAAACUCUUCCAAAAGCCAUCAAAAUGUUCACACUCCGACUGAGCUAUCGCUUCCAGCCUUCUCAGGCUCAUCUGCUAGGAACUCUGUCUAAGUGCCUUUAGUGCCAUGCUUCCUCUACUAACCCAAUAUACCUGAGUGUCCCAGCACGCUGCCCAGAGCAGGAUGAGCUCUCCAGCCAUUUAUUACAAAUGAAUGAACACGUGAACAAUCAGGGUAGCAUUUAGUCCAAUCCUAUAUUUACUGGAAUUUUUUAACUUGAAAAAGCUAAUGAAUGAUAUUCUACAAUUCAAAAGCAGGACAAAGAAGAAUGACUAGACACCACCAGUUCCUGGGAGCUAAAGAGACUUCAGGGACUGCUUUGGGUUAAUAUGUCCACCAUCAGAUUUUUUCUCUGGUGGAACGUUUUGUAGAAAGUGAUUACAGCAGUAGAGGAAGGGACCACCUCCCCCGACCCAGUGGAGUCAGUUAUUAUGGACUCUUUGAAGAGAGGGCUAGGGAAUGGAGGUGUCUGUGUGUUGUGAGAGGUGAGUUGAGGGGAUUUACCCUGGUAAACCCACAGGAUUUUGUAGGCUCUUGGGCAGAGGCCAGAAAAAGCAUUUAGUUAAUCACUUUAAAGAAACAAAUCAAAAGAGAAAACCAUGCUCUCUUGAUUUGAUUACUUAAGGAUUCAUAAAGUGAUUUUGAGGCUAAAUAUGAAUUCAAAUCGAAGCUAUUUUGACAUGUCUUUCUUUUCAAUUUCACUAUUAAUUCUGUUGCAUUCAAUUGAAGAUCAUCUUGAGUAAUGUUUUUUGAAUUCAGAUGAAGUUUGAACUCAUGUAAUCUAACUCUACAAAGUGGCAGAGAAAUAACUCUGAAAGGACAAAAAUAUGUCUUGUGACUGUAACCCCAUUUAUUUUCCCCAAAUGUUUUAGCAAGAUGGCUGGCAUAUAGUAAACACAAUAAUUGUGCACGUGCUCACGUGUAGGGAGAGAGAUGCUAAUUGCAGACUGUGGAGCAGAACGGCUGAAAGCCUCUGUCUGAACCCAGGUUGUGGUGGGGUGCAUUUUACCUUCCAGCUGCUUUUUUUUUAAUGCCUCAAUCUCCUUAUUCUAUGUUCUGGGACACAACAUUUGGUUGUUUUGAAAUUUAAAUAAGUUAGUAUGCAUCCAAGCAUUUAACAUGGUAUCUGAAACAUUAGUAAGCAUUUAACCAUUGGCUCAUUUUGUUUUGUUUUAUUUUUGUUGUUGUUUUGAGUUUUGAGACAGGGACUCCUGCUGUAGCUCAGAUUGGCCCCAAACUCAAGAUCCUUCUGCCUCGGCCUCCCAAGUGCUGGAAUGCCACAUAUGCUGAACCGCACAAGGCUAUUUAUUAGCUAUUAAAACUCCAAUAUUUUCCCACAUUUCUUUAUACACAAGAAAACCAAGGCUGUGGUGUGUAGUUAGUGAAGGAGCACCAGCUUGGCAGGCAAGAGGCCCUCAAUUUGGUCCCCAGCACUGCAGAAACAUUGAAAACAGAAGUUAAAAAGUUAAACCAUGUGGCCCAGGUCUUCCAGACUUCACUAGCGUAGACAAACUGGUUCCAUAGCACAUGACCAAACUUCUUGACCACUUCCAGCCUCUAAGGAAACAAAGAAUAAUCUCUCUCUCUCUCUCUCUCUCUCUCUCUCUCUCUCUCUCUCUCUCUCUCUCUCUCUCUCUCACACACACACACACACACACACACACACACACACACACACACAAAAAUCUCUCUCCGACCCACACACUCUCACACACAGUGUCUCUUCUACUCUCUCUCUCUCUCUCUCUCUCUCUCUCUCUCUCUCUCUCUCUCUCUCUUUCUUCUCUCUCUCUCUCUCUCUCUCUCUCUCUCUCUCUCUCUCUCUCACACACACACACACACACACACACACACACACCACUCACUCUCAAGGAAACGAUUCCCUGCCACUCAAAUUUCUUUGCCUGUGACUUAGGGAUUUGGGGAGGCAGGAUGCCGCUAGGCUGAGGUCCUGGACUUCAAGUACUGUAGAAACAGUCUAAGCACAGCAUAAUCUUUGCCAGACAGUGGUUCUAUUUUACUAGCUUAUUGGAAGUAAAGACACAUUUGUGUUUUAGAGGAAUUUGGAGACAAAAGGAAUGCUCCCUCACCCAACCAGAUUAGCCUGCAAACCCACCAAGUCCCGGGCUCUUCUGUGUGCAUCUUUGGAGGGCAAGGUAGAAUAUUGCAUAUUUUUGUCUUUGAUUCUGUGCCAGAAAAACAGGUCACAGUAAACUCAACACAGUGAUUGAUAGGAGUAGAAUGUUUAGAUUCUAAUUACUACCAGGUGACUGUAGCUCUGGACUUUUCCAGCUAAGUACAUAUCUACCAGUUUCCUGGGUGCUUUUUUAAAUGAAUAAUGUACAAGAGGAGUGUGGUUUUCCAUAAGCAAAUUGUGUGUUUGUGAAAUCUGAAAAUGUGCUGUCUCCCUUUGUUAUAAUAUCCUGGCAAUAAAAUGUCACUUGGCCAAUAAAGCAUUCAAACGUAAAGAUAGUCAAACCUACUA